rnacentral:rRNA from 1 species
AUUGAACGCUGGCGGCAGGCCUAAUACAUGCAAGUCGAACGAGUGGCGGACGGGUGAGUAAUGUCUGGGAAACUGCCUGAUGGAGGGGGAUAACUACUGGAAACGGUAGCUAAUACCGCAUACCAUCGGAUGUGCCCAGAGGGGAUUAGCUAGUAGGUGGGGUAACGGCUCAUCGAGGCGACGAUCCCUAGCUGGUCUGAGAGGAUGACCAGCCACACUGGAACGGGGACACGGUCCAGGCUCCUACGGGAGGCAGCAGUGGGGAAUAUUGCGCAAUGGGCGCGAGCCUGAUGCAGCCAUGCCGCGUGUAUGAAGAAGGCCUUCGGGUUGUAAAGUACUUUCAGCGGGGGGGCGUUACCCGCAGAAGAAGCGCCGGCUAACUCCGUGCCAGCCGCCGCGGUAAUAC